rnacentral:rRNA from 1 species
GAUGAACGCUGGCGGCGUGCCUAAUACAUGCAAGUCGAGCGGACAAACGAAGCGUUUUCCUCUCUUAAGUUAGGGGCGGGAGGGUGAGUAACACGUGGCUAACCUACCUUUAAGGAUAGGGUAACUUCGGGGAAGCGGAUCUCAUACACGUCCAUAUAUUGAAAGGCAGGGUUCUUCAGAGCACAACCGAUUUUCUGACACUUAUUCAUAGAACCGCGCCGCAUUAGCUAGUUGGUAAGGUAACGGCUUACCAAGGCAACGAUGCGUAGCCGACCUGAGAGGGUGAUCGGCCACACUGGAACUGAGACACGGUCCAGACUCCUACGGGAGGCAGCAGUAGGGAAUCUUCCGCAAUGGGCGAAGGCCUGACGGAGCAACGCCGCGUGAGUGAUGAAGGUCUUCGGAUCGUAAAACUCUGUUAUUAGGGAAGAACAAAUGUGUAAGUAACUAUGCACGUCUUGACGGUACCUAAUCAGAAAGCCACGGCUAACUACGUG